rnacentral:rRNA from 1 species
CCGCCCGUCACAUCACGAAAGUGGACUGCACUAGAAGCCGGUGAGCCAACCGCAAGGAGGCAGCCGUCCAAGGUAUGGUUCAUGAUUGGGGUG